GACGAACGCUGGCGGCGUGCUUAACACAUGCAAGUCGAGCGGUAAGGCCCUUUCGGGGGUACACGAGCGGCGAACGGGUGAGUAACACGUGGGUGACCUGCCCUCAGCUCUGGGAUAAGCCUGGGAAACCGGGUCUAAUACUGGAUAUGACUCCAUGACGCAUGUUGUGGGGUGGAAAGCCUUGUGCGGCUGAGGAUGGGCCCGCGGCCUAUCAGCUUGUUGGUGGGGUGAUGGCCUACCAAGGCGACGACGGGUAGCCGGCCUGAGAGGAUGAUCAGCCACACUGGGACUGAGACACGGCCCAGACUCCUACGGGAGGCAGCAGUGGGGAAUAUUGGACAAUGGGCGAAAGCCUGAUCCAGCCAUGCCGCGUGAGUGAAGAAGGCCUUAGGGUUGUAAAGCUCUUUCAGCGGGGAAGAUAAUGACGGUACCCGCAGAAGAAGCCCCGGCUAACUUCGUGCCAGCAGCCGCAGUAAU
rnacentral:rRNA from 1 species